rnacentral:rRNA from 1 species
UGGGGAAUAUUGCACAAUGGGCGCAAGUCUGAUGCAGCCAUGCCGCGUGUAUGAAGAAGGCCUUCGGGUUGUAAAGUACUUUCAGCGGGGAGGAAGGGAGUAAAGUUAAUACCUUUGCUCAUUGACGUUACCCGCAGAAGAAGCACCGGCUAACUCCGUGCCAGCAGCCGCGGUAAUACGGAGGGUGCAAGCGUUAAUCGGAAUUACUGGGCGUAAAGCGCACGCAGGCGGUUUGUUAAGUCAGAUGUGAAAUCCCCGGGCUCAACCUGGGAACUGCAUCUGAUACUGGCAAGCUUGAGUCUCGUAGAGGGGGGUAGAAUUCCAGGUGUAGCGGUGAAAUGCGUAGAGAUCUGGAGGAAUACCGGUGGCGAAGGCGGCCCCCUGGACGAAGACUGACGCUCAGGUGCGAAAGCGUGGGGAGCAAACAGG